rfam:Solanum tuberosum cultivar DM 1-3 516 R44 scf00144_16, whole genome shotgun sequence.
ACUUAUGAUUUAGACGUCCAAUAAAAUUGGAACGAUACACAGAAAAUUAGAAUGACCCCUACGCAAGGAUAACAUGCAUAAAUCGAGAAAUGGUCCAAUUUUUU